rnacentral:miRNA from 14 species
CUCUGUCUUGAAAACCCUAAAAAGGGGCUGGAGAGAUGGCUCGGCAGUUAAGAUUACUGGCUGCUCUUCCAGAGGACCCAGGUUCAAUUCCCGGCACCCACAUGGCAG